rnacentral:tRNA from 1 species
UGGGACGUCGUUCAACGGUAGGACAUGCGGCUCUGAACCGCAGAAUCGGGGUUCGAAUCCCUGCGUCCCAACCA